GUGUUCGAUUCCCUCUAUGGAACUUCUGAGAGAAAAAGCAUCCGCUUUUCCACUGCACUAAUUAGAAAAUUUGUAAAUAAUUUGCCGGAUAUAAUAUAUAUAGAAACAUUGCGGUACCAUGGGUUCCAAGGAAGACCCGCCACUGAUUAUCGAUCGAGCCCGGGGUCGCCGGGCGGUGAAACCGCCCCUGAUGGUUAAUAUAUU
rnacentral:lncRNA from 1 species